ensembl:lncRNA
ACAUUCACAGACUCAGGAGGAUCUUCGUAGAGGCAAUGAAGGGCAGUGCGGAAGCUGUUAGGGAUCCCAGCUUGACUGUUCCCUGGCUGACGCAGGUUCGGUGGAAAUGAUGGCAACUGCCAUGCGGUGGAUCCAUAUCCCAGCCCCUGCAAGGGCUGCUCUACCUGUGCGACGGCCAGCCCCGCAGCUGGGUUUGGCUACCCGGCCCCAAGGCUGAUUAGUCCGGAGACACACGUGACUUCAGCGGGCCAAUCAGCUGUGUCCUCCCCGAUACCACCCCUCCCUGUUGGGGAGUGCGAACUUGGGUUCCGAGGACACCGGUCCGUCUUUGUAAGGCACCUCCGGAUUUCUGCUGUUCACAUCCAGAGCGGUUUUGAUCACCAGUGGACCCCAGGAGCUUUCAGUGUCUCAUUCAGUCUGUGCAGGUGGGCCGGGCAAUGCUGGGGCAUGUCAGGACUCACAGUCAGGAUGCUCGGCCUAGACCAAGCCAGCUUCCCUGGCUCAUUUGCGGAACAGGAGUGACACCCGACUCAGCCACUUCAUUGGGAGAGGCAAGCGACUCCACACUGUUGGUGAUAUAGAUCUCCAGAAACGUCUGUUGUCCAUGGAGUUUAACCAGUGUUUUGUACCGAUGAGAACUGUGGGUUAGGAUGAAGAAUCCUAUUCUGUCUUUCGUCUCUCUUAAGUUUACUCUUGUGAAUUAAAAAAAGAAAAAGCUCUCUAUAAAAAUAGUUCUGGAGACCUGGGUUCAAUCACUGAUCCGGGAAGAUCCCGUGUGCCGCGGAGCAACUAGGCCAGUGCGCCACAACUAUCGAGCCUGUUUUCUCGAGCCUGGGAGCCGCAAGACCGUGGGCCACAACUGUUGAAGGCCCGCAUGUCAGAGCCCCUGCUCAUCAACAAGAGACACCACUGCAAUGAAAAGCCUGUACACUGCAACUGGAGUUUGCCAACCGUACACUAUCCCCUCUUGCUGCAACUAGAGGAAAGCCUGCAAGGCAAUGAAGACCCAGCACAGCCAUAAGUUCUAUAUAUAAAACAUGGGAAUCCAGAUGUGCAGCUCAUUUUGUGUCACCUGUCCCCUGAGAGCUUGGCACAAAGAGCUGAGCUUCUGGAGGGAGGCUUAUUAGUCUGACCCCAGCUCUCCUUUACUAGUUCUCGGAAUUGGCCAAGUCUUAGCUCCCACACCUAUAAAAUGGAAUCUAACCUCCAUCUGAGGUUGUGGAAAGGAUUAGAAAUAAAGGUGUAAAGUAUUUUGCAUAGUGUCUUGUGCAGAGCAGCCAUUUAAUAACUGACAAUUAUUA